rnacentral:rRNA from 1 species
GAAUUUUAUAUAUUUUUAUUUAGUAAAAUUUAUAUCGAAAUAAAUAAGAAGAUAUUUUAUUGGGAGGAUAGUUAAAUAUAAAAAACUUUAAUUAAAAUUGAAAUAUAAAUUAAUAAAUUUAAGAAUGAUUAAAUAAAUUAAUUAAGAAUUAAUUACCUUAGGGAUAACAGCGUAAUAUUUUUGGAGAGUUCAUAUUAAUAAAAAUGUUUGC